AACAACACGAUGGGGCGAUACCCCGCAA
rnacentral:sRNA from 1 species